rnacentral:rRNA from 1 species
ACGCUGGCGGCGUGCCUAAUACAUGCAAGUAGAACGCUGAAGAGAGGAGCUUGCUCUUCUUGGAUGAGUUGCGAACGGGUGAGUAACGCGUAGGUAACCUGCCUUGUAGCGGGGGAUAACUAUUGGAAACGAUAGCUAAUACCGCAUAACAAUAGGUGACACAUGUCAUUUAUUUGAAAGGGGCAAUUGCUCCACUACAAGAUGGACCUGCGUUGUAUUAGCUAGUAGGUGAGGUAAUGGCUCACCUAGGCGACGAUACAUAGCCGACCUGAGAGGGUGAUCGGCCACACUGGGACUGAGACACGGCCCAGACUCCUACGGGAGGCAGCAGUAGGGAAUCUUCGGCAAUGGGGGCAACCCUGACCGAGCAACGCCGCGUGAGUGAAGAAGGUUUUCGGAUCGUAAAGCUCUGUUGUAAGUCAAGAACGAGUGUGAGAGUGGAAAGUUCACACUGUGACGGUAGCUUACCAGAAAGGGACGGCUAACUACGUGCCAGCAGCCGCGGUAAUACGUAGGUCCCGAGCGUUGUCCGGAUUUAUUGGGCGUAAAGCGAGCGCAGGCGGUUUGAUAAGUCUGAAGUUAAAGGCUGUGGCUCAACCAUAGUUCGCUUUGGAAACUGUCAAACUUGAGUGCAGAAGGGGAGAGUGGAAUUCCAUGUGUAGCGGUGAAAUGCGUAGAUAUAUGGAGGAACACCGGUGGCGAAAGCGGCUCUCUGGUCUGUAACUGACGCUGAGGCUCGAAAGCGUGGGGAGCGAACAGGAUUAGAUACCCUGGUAGUCCACGCCGUAAACGAUGAGUGCUAGGUGUUGGAUCCUUUCCGGGAUUCAGUGCCGCAGCUAACGCAUUAAGCACUCCGCCUGGGGAGUACGACCGCAAGGUUGAAACUCAAAGGAAUUGACGGGGGCCCGCACAA